AGGCACAGUGCUAAAGGAAACGACCUCCCUCUUCAGGAGAAACCACAAUGCCGGCAGAAGACCCUCGCUAUAUGCUGUGGCGUUAACUAAAACUCACAUUUCAGAAGAGAUUACAGGGGUUCCCGUUCCAACAAUACACAGCAGGGCUUCACUCAAGGGUCGGCAGGUGAUCGAGAUUUCCGCCGAAGAGGAGGGAGAUCAGGCUGGACCCUCCCAGGAGCUGCAGCCUGAGGUGACAGACACACCUGAUAUGAAUGAAGAGGGGGAGGUGGAAGACAGUGGACCCUCCCAGCCACCACAAGAACCCACCACUGCUCCUAAUGAUGAUAAUGAUGAAAAGGCAGGAUGAGGUUGUUACCAACCCCUGCCAAGAGGUACUGAUGUCUUUGGGAAAAAAAAUUGCAAAUUAUUCAGUGGGAACAUGAUGCCAGCAUAAAAAGAAAUGCGGGGAGGCUGAUGGCC